rnacentral:rRNA from 1 species
CCUACGGGUGGCAGCAGUGAGGAAUAUUGGUCAAUGGACGAGAGUCUGAACCAGCCAAGUAGCGUGAAGGAUGACUGCCCUAUGGGUUGUAAACUUCUUUUAUAUGGGAAUAAACUGUUCCACGUGUGGGAUUUUGUAUGUACCAUAUGAAUAAGGAUCGGCUAACUCCGUGCCAGCAGCCGCGGUAAUACGGAGGAUCCGAGCGUUAUCCGGAUUUAUUGGGUUUAAAGGGAGCGUAGGUGGGUUGUUAAGUCAGUUGUACAAGAUUGCGGCUCAACCGUAAAAUUGCAGUUGAAACGGGCAGUUGUGAGGACAGUAGAGGUGGGCGGAAUGCGUGGGGUAGCAGUGAAAUGCUUAGAUAUCACGAAGAACUCCGAUGGCGAAGGCAGCUCACUGGACGGAAACUGACGCUGAGGCUCGAAAGUGUGGGUAUCAAACAGGAUUAGAUACACUGGUAGUC